rnacentral:rRNA from 2 species
ACGGGAGGCAGCAGUAAGGAAUUUUCGGCAAUGGGCGAAAGCCUGACCGAGCAACGCCGCGUGAGUGAAGAAGGCCCUAUGGGUUGUAAAGCUCUGUUGUAAAGGAAGAAAGGUACGAAAGAAUUUGUAUUUGACGGUACUUUACCAGAAAGCCACGGCUAACUACGUGCCAGCAGCCGCGGUAAUACGUAGGUGGCGAGCGUUAUCCGGAAUUAUUGGGCGUAAAGGGUGCGCAGUCGGCUGAUUAAGUCUGUGUUGAAAGUGCGGGGCUCAACCCCGUAUGGGCACGGAAACUGGACAGCUAGAGUGCAGAAGAGGGUAGUGGAAUUCCAUGUGUAGCGGUAAAAUGCGUAGAUAUAUGGAGGAACACCGGUGGCGAAGGCGGCUACCUGGUCUGUAACUGACGAUGAGGCACGAAAGCGUGGGGAGCAAAUAGGAUUAGAUACCCUGGUA